AUGGCAGAGGCUGUGGUUUAUGUCGUGCUUGGGAAAAUUGCUGCUAGUUUGGGGCGAGAUGCUCUAAAUGCAAUAGGCUCACGGAUUGGCAAAGAAGCAACACAUUUACUUGAAGCUGAGAACAACAUGAGGCAGAUUGAGAUUGAAUUCAAAGUAAUGAAAGCUUUUCUAAUGCAAGUGCCGAUGCGCUCAUCACGUAAUUUAGCUUUUGAUGCCUGGCUUGAGGAGGUAAAGUAG
rnacentral:rRNA from 1 species